rnacentral:rRNA from 1 species
AUUGAACGCUGGCGGCAGGCCUAACACAUGCAAGUCGAGCGAGCGGCGGACGGGUGAGUAAUGUCUGGGAACCUGCCUGAUGGCGGGGGAUCACUACUGGAAACGGUAGCUAAUACCGCAUACCAUCAGCUUUGCCCAGAUGGGAUUAGCUAGUAGGUGGGGGAACGGCUCACCUAGGCGACGAUCCCUAGCUGGGCUGAGAGGAUGACCAGCCACACUGGGACUGAGACACGGCCCAGACUCCUACGGGAGGCAGCAGUGGGGAAUAUUGGACAAUGGGCGCAAGCCUGAUGCAGCCAUGCCGCGUGUGUGAAGAAGGUCUUCGGAUUGUAAAGCACUUUCGGCGGGGAGGCGGUACCUGCAGAAGAAGCACCGGCUAACUCCGUGCCAGCAGCCGCGGUAAUUC